GAUGAACGCUGGCGGCGUGCCUAAUACAUGCAAGUCGAGCGAACGGACGAGAAGCUUGCUUCUCUGAUGUUAGCGGCGGACGGGUGAGUAACACGUGGAUAACCUACCUAUAAGACUGGGAUAACUUCGGGAAACCGGAGCCAAUACCGGAUAAUAUUUUGAACCGCAUGGUUCAAAAGUGAAAGACGGUCUUGCUGUCACUUAUAGAUGGAUCCGCGCUGCAUUAGCUAGUUGGUAAGGUAACGGCUUACCAAGGCAACGAUGCAUAGCCGACCUGAGAGGGUGAUCGGCCACACUGGAACUGAGACACGGUCCAGACUCCUACGGGAGGCAGCAGUAGGGAAUCUUCCGCAAUGGGCGAAAGCCUGACGGAGCAACGCCGCGUGAGUGAUGAAGGUCUUCGGAUCGUAAAACUCUGUUAUUAGGGAAGAACAUAUGUGUAAGUAACUGUGCACAUCUUGACGGUACCUAAUCAGAAAGCCACGGCUAACUACGUGCCAGCAGCCGCGGUAAUACGUAGGUGGCAAGCGUUAUCGGGAAUUUAUGGGCGUAGCGCGCGUAGGCGGUUUUUUAGUCUGAUGUGAAAGCCCACGGCUCACCCGUGGAGGGUCAUUGGAAACUGGAAAACUUGAGUGCAGAAGAGGAAAGUGGAAUUCCAUGUGUAGCGGUGAAAUGCGCAGAGAUAUGGAGGAACACCAGUGGCGAAGGCGACUUUCUGGUCUGUAACUGACGCUGAUGUGCGAAAGCGUGGGGAUCAAACAGGAUUAGAUACCCUGGUAGUCCACGCCGUAAACGAUGAGUGCUAAGUGUUAGGGGGUUUCCGCCCCUUAGUGCUGCAGCUAACGCAUUAAGCACUCCGCCUGGGGAGUACGACCGCAAGGUUGAAACUCAAAGGAAUUGACGGGGACCCGCACAAGCGGUGGAGCAUGUGGUUUAAUUCGAAGCAACGCGAAGAACCUUACCAAAUCUUGACAUCCUUUGACAACUCUAGAGAUAGAGCCUUCCCCUUCGGGGGACAAAGUGACAGGUGGUGCAUGGUUGUCGUCAGCUCGUGUCGUGAGAUGUUGGGUUAAGUCCCGCAACGAGCGCAACCCUUAAGCUUAGUUGCCAUCAUUAAGUUGGGCACUCUAAGUUGACUGCCGGUGACAAACCGGAGGAAGGUGGGGAUGACGUCAAAUCAUCAUGCCCCUUAUGAUUUGGGCUACACACGUGCUACAAUGGACAAUACAAAGGGCAGCGAAACCGCGAGGUCAAGCAAAUCCCAUAAAGUUGUUCUCAGUCCGGAUUGUAGUCUGCAACUCGACUACAUGAAGCUGGAAUCGCUAGUAAUCGUAGAUCAGCAUGCUACGGUGAAUACGUUCCCGGGUCU
rnacentral:rRNA from 1 species